UAAAGCAUUAAAGAUAAUGCCUAUAAGCUUCGUCAGUUCCGCAAUAUGUUUUCCUCUAAGCAUGAAGUAUUUGAACCUUAAAUAUGUUUUUGCCUUUGCAAUACUAGAUAACCUUAUCUAUGACUCCGACAAUUCCUUCUUACACGUUAGUUAACUUAAAAUACAUGUAUACUAAAUAUCUUGUAUAUGGGUUAAAAUUGAUAUAUAUGUAAAGGUUAGUAAUUGGAUAUACAUGAGUGUCAUCUUUGUGAUAGACGUCAUGUUCGAAGUCCUCGAAAUACUGAAUCUGCUUCUGGAUAAGAAGAAUGGGUAUUUUGUUUAUUGUUCCACUAUUGUGAUUUCUGAACAAAAAUAGCGGAUUGACUUUUGUAAUUGAAUAGUAUUAUAUAGAUGCUGUAACUUAGUCAUAAUAUUUUUAUGGCAUAGAGUUUGGCCGUUUAAGACCUUGAUGUUAGAGCUAUAGAACAAAAAUCUAUUAUUCUUCUUAAGGAAAACAGUUUUAUGCGGAGUAUUUCAUCUUAUAAACUUUUAUGGGAUGAGUUAAAUUAUGAGUCUUUACUUCUUUAUUUAUUUCUUAUGUAGUAUAAAGAAUCAGAUUCCAUUUUCUAAUUCUUAUUUCUUGUUUGCCUUUGCAUAUGCACAUGGAGCAAAUGGAGUCUAAUUCAAGACUCUGGCAGUGGAAUCUCAUUGAGACUCAAUACUAUCCGAGUAUGGAGUUAUCACAUCCUACACCGUCUUCCUUAGAAUGCACCAAAUAGCAAGCAAACAAGCGAGACGCUUGGGGGCACCUAUGGCGUUCUUCUUUUAAUUCUUUUGUCAUUCAUUUUAUCUAACUUUUGUGAUUGUUAAUUUGCUUGUGUAUUUGGGUUUUAUCUCAAGUUUGGAUUUAAUUAUUUAGGUUCUUUGCUAUCCUUAUAUCACAUAGGAUACGCUAAUUAGAAUGAGGAAUCUAAGAUCGAUAAUCUAAUAACUUUCUUUUCUUAUUAAUCAUUAGAGUAUUCAUUUUCUAGGAAGCUUAACAAUAUGCUCCAGACACUUUUUUAUAAGAAGUCAAAACGGUUUUCAAAAGAAUAAGCUAAGUACUGUUAGAAGUAUAUAUGCAAAAUAAUUUUGACCAACUCUCUUAGUCUAUCUUUGAAAAUAGAUUCUUAUUAUCAUCUUUGAAGCUACAUUUUGCCAAGCAAUUCCAUACAUAUUUCUUUUUACAAGAAAAGAACAUUAUUUGUAAAAGUUACUUUUCAAAUAAAGAUAGUUACUUGGCUAACUUACUUACUGGUCUUGUCCCAUUUUGAUCAUUUAAAUAUUGACGCUCAAUUAUAUGUUUUUACAACACUUAUAAAGAGGCCUUGGCUGGUCUAGUUCACUUGUUUUUUUUAAAAAAUUUCAACUUAUUGUUAAGUCAUUUUUAUAAAUUACUAUUUUAAGUAACAUGCGCAUAUAUUGGUUACAAGCAACUUUCUUUAGAUACCCAACACCUAAAUGAUGUACUUAUAUAUAUACCUUAGCCUUAAUUAACCUAAGUUUGGUCGGUUAAUCGUAAUUUACGGAUCAUAUAGGGUGCCUUAAUAACCUUCCCUAUAGGAUUAAUUAGAACCCUUACCCAUAAUCUUAAGGUUAAGCAGGCCAUAAAACAGAGUUAAGCAUUAUUUAGCUAAAAUUGGUGUCCUAAUUCACCAUUAAACCAAUUAGGUGACGGUUUUUUUAAUUAAUUAAACCCCUAGAAUUAUCAAUAUGUUACACUCUAGUUUGAUCCGUGUUGAAAUGGGGUAUAACAGCAUGGCGACUCUGCUGGGGAUUCUAGGUUCUAAACCAUAACAAACUUAGGUUAAUAAUAAUAAUUAAUUUGCGUGUUUUUAUUGUUAUGAUGCUUAUUUGAAUUGACUUUAUAUGAUAAACUAUAUUUUUAUGAAUUGUUUAUCUGUUCUUAUUGAUUUAUAUAAAUUGUCAUUCCGCUUCACUUCCUCCACUUCUGAAAAAUUCACACAAAGCACAGACCUAGCGGUUACGUGGUUUGCAGCCGUGCACUUUUCAAAAAUACCUUUUAGGGAAAAGUUCGUGGGUAAGUCGAUCAGCAAUACAGUCGACAGUCACGGGCUUUCCACUCUCAAGUUGUCCGCUUGGGAGAUGACCAGUUUAGAAAAACCCACUCUUAGUCAGCCUAAGAUAGAGCUAAACCAAAACCUUUUUAAGAGCAUGCAUCAUUUUAACCUUAGGUGAUUUAAUACCCGAGGUGUAUUAAACCCAUUAGUUGACAACACCUAAAUGUUCAAGUGGGUUUUCAACCCCAUGUAACACCUUUAUAUGUGCAUUAUUUGAAGGAUGAACAUGCCAAUUAUGUGGAUCAUUUACUUUAAAUUAAUUAAAUCCUAGUUAAAGGAGCAUGACUAUCUUUAUUUAUAACAUGUGUAAAGUUUUGCGGAACAAGGAGAAGUUUACGCAUGACAAAAUAUCUUUUAUUGUACUUUCUUUUGAUUUUUUUACGUAAAAAUAAAUAAAAUGGCUUAAGCAAUUCAUGUACUUUAUUUGCUUUUGAAAAAUAGAAUAACUUAAUUAAUUUAUUAUAAUUAAUAAUUAUAAAUAUAUUUUAUUAUACUUUCUUUUGUUCUUUUGAUGAAAAUACACUCCCUUUUUGCAAAAUAAAAAAGAAAGGGAAAGAUGUUUAAGCAGUUAUACUUUACUGUUUAUUCGUUUUUCAAAAAUAGAAUUAUUAAUUUAUAGAAAUGGGAUGAUACAUAAUGGUAUAUUUAUCUUUUAAAUAUACGUUAGGCUUACCUCUGGCAUAAAGAGGCCUCACCACGUAUUAGAGCGCGCUAUUAUUUGCUUUGGAAUGUGUCACAUGCUUUGCUUGCCUACUUGCUUUCUUGCUUACUUGCUAUGUUGCUUGCUCGACUUUAUUAUUUUUACUAAUAUUAUUUGUUGUUUUUCAGAAAAAGGAAGUAUUAACUAUCCAAUUUGUUUACAUCUUUAUUUAAAUAUAUAUUUUAUUUGUUCAUAUAUUUUUUUUUUCUUUUUUUUCUUCUGCUUAUUUUUAUAUCAUCUUCCUGAAAUCGUCUCGCUUAGCUUUUUAACAACUCUAGAGCACCAUUUAGGUAUUUACUUAAGCUCAAUUUUCUCUUAGGUCCAUUCCAUUUCUUAGAGUCUAACUAAGAUAUCUUUUAGUCUUUGGGCAUAAUAUUCUAUUAUUUAUAAGGUAUAAUAUUUUGCUCGCAAACUCUUCAAUAAGCUCGGUUCGUCAUGAAAAUUUGAUAUUCAUGCCUUAAACUAGCAUUACGAAUUUUCUUUAGACAACAAUGAGCAUCUCACUCCCUAUAGCAAGAUAUUAUUCCUACUUCUUUAAAAAACAUUUGGCGUAAUAUUUCAUAAUUAGAAAAUAUUUUUCCGAUCUAAUUUAGUGAGUUAGUUUUAUUUGCAUCCUUUUCAUAAAAAUAAUAUUGCCACUCGUGCCUCACAUAAUUUUUCAAUUUUUCCAAUUAUAUCGUAAUCUUGUACCUUUAAUAUUCGUCUCAUAGCUUCAUAUCUCUUAGAAUUCCAACCUUCGUGUCAAUUUUCAUUUCCAAGUUGGUAGAUGCCCAAACUUGCGCAAUCUACUGAGCAAUAGAAGGCCACUAUUUGGUCAAUUUGCAUCGUCAAAUUGUUCUAAAAUUUUACCUAUUCAAUUCAUGUGUCUAUCCCAUCUUAUUUCGGGGUCGUCGAGAUUAAUCCUCCUGCACCCGCCAAUUUCAAGUCUUGGCAUGCGAGUCGAGGUACUAUCCCAUAAGUCUCAAAACGGUUGAUACCGUAUUUCGGACCUCGACAUCUUUAUGAUUUGCCAAUGCUAAAAAAAAAUAAAAAAAUAAUAGUCAUUUCAUGUCCAAUUGACUCUUAUAUCCUAAUUAAGUAUCUUGAUUCUGAGCUUGUCGAUAUUCAAACAGCAAAAAAUUAUUUUUCAACGUCAAAAUUAUUCGCGUAUGGCCUCUUUGAAGCACGGUCUAUAUAAGGCUCGAUCUCAUUACAGCAAAAUUUUCAUUUCCCUUCAUGAAAGAAACUGGUGCAAAUUUUGGCACACAGGUUGAGCAUGCUCGAAAGGGACAUCAUGCCAUGGAAUAAUAAUCAAAACCUUCCCAAAGAUUGGGGCAAUUUUUGAAAAUUCCAGAGCCAUCAAAGUUAUGCUAGAGCUAAAACUUUGAUGUUCGACAUGAGUCAACCUUUUACAAAAAAUUUAAAUUAAUUCGUUUCCAUGUCAACAAGUCUCGAGCAUUAGAGCCCCCUAGAUAACAACUCAUUCUCGUCCAUCCAUUUUGCAACUUAGGCCAUCAUUUCCAGUUUAGGGCUCCUACUUAACCAUAUCAUAAAUUAAUCUAUCUAAUUACACACUUUAUUACUUUGUGCAUUUAUUCGAUUCUGAUAAAUACGCUAACACUUUACUUUUAUUUUGUAUAGUUAUAUUUUUCCUUUAAAGGUUGCCUAUCAUUGAACACUGUUUUGGCUAUGAAUCUACAUAAAGGACGGGCUAUAAUGGCAGAUCAUUUUGAAGAAUUCAGUAUCAGUAUGGUACUAUUGCAAUCAUAGAAUGAUGGCACCAAGGUGCAUGUGGUACAAAGAAAAGUAUUGGUCAAUUUGGGAAGCACUUUCAACCUUCUUCCAAAUACAACCUCCACCUUCAGCUCCACCAUAAAUAUUUGCUUUACCAUAUCUCCUUAUCCAACUCCUACUUGUACAAUCUCUCCACAAAUGCAAAUAACCUGCAAUCCCAAUCAAGUCAUGAUGAUUCCUAAUACCCAACUUCCUAUAACCACAACUCCAUUUGAGGAGGACAAGCAAAAACGACUGGCAAUAUGCCCGUAUAAGAGACCUGAAAAAUUAACCUAGCAGAUUUGCCACAAAAAAUUACAGAAUGAACUCCAUAAUUUGAAGAAAGUCAUUGGAGAAGAAUUGCAGUCGAGAAAUUAUCAAAGUCUACGAUAUGAAGACUUGUGCUUGCAGCCACAUAUUGAACUGCCACCAGGGUAUCAACUACCAAAGUUCAAUACUUUCAGUGGGAAAUGAAAUCCCAUCGCUUAUUUAAAGGACUAUUGUAGCAGGUUACUUGAUAUUGGGCACAAUGAGGCCAUUCAAAUGAAGUUAUUUAUCCAAAGCUUAUCAGGACCUGCACUUAUUUGGUACACAAAACAAGAUUUUAGCAAAUGGAACACGUGGGAUGAUAUGACUCACGAUUUUGUAAAGCAAUAUGAGUUCAACCUUGGAGUCGAUCCAGACAUGCAUAACCUGUACAAAAUAGAGAAAAUGCCACAUGAAUAUUUUCAGGAUUAUGCAAUCCGGUGGAGAUUUGAAGCUUCAAAGGUGCACCCUCCGCUAUCUGAGAAAGAAUUAAUUUCACUCUUCAUUGACAUUCAAAAUGGCAUAUAUUAUGAAAAGCUGGCUAUUGCAAUCGUACGUAAUUUCUCAGACUUGAUUAGAGUCGGGGACUUCCUAGAAAGUGACAUCAAAGAAGGAAAGGUUAACAUGCAAACUAUCAAUCAUGCUUUACAACCUGAGAUGUUAGAAAAUUGGAAAUGCAAAGAGAAGAAAAAUGCCAUAGUUUCCAUGACUAUGCAUCAACCGCAAUGCCAUCAUGAUCACCAGCUCCUUCAAAAUCUUUCCAUAUCUAAUGCCCGUAACAUGCAUCUCCAGCCUCCUCGUCAACAAAGCAUUCAACAUCAACAUCAUCAAGCACAAGUCGUUUAUCACCAAAAGAAAAGAAAGCCUCGCAACUUCACACCUAUGACUGAAUUAAUCUCUAGCAUAUUCCAAGAAAAGGAAGAAUUUUCGACCCUUCACAUCCAUUAUUUGAUCUUUCCAAGUAUUGUGCCUACCAUUCAUAAGCUCAAGGUCAUGAUACAGAAGAAUUCUAGCAUUAAAGCAUAAGAUUCAGAAUAUGAUUGAUGCUACCAAAUUGCAAGUGCACCUACCAGUUGGAACAAACAUCUCAAAUGCAACUACCAGCAGUACAAGCAAUACACCUAGUGUGGUUGGUCAUCCGAAGAAGAAACGUCGUCUAAAAAAAUGACAAGAUUAGUUCACCUGACCUUGACGGCAUUAUCAUUUUGCAACCUUUGAGUAGCUAUAUUUUGUAAUCAUACCUUAAUUUUGUAAAUGAAUUACGUUCCAACCUGAUUCCUAUUUAAGAGGGAUACAUAGGCAGCCUUAUGGGUUCGGUCUCAUCAUAAUUAAAAUCCUAUUUACCCCAAAAGCCAAAUCCGGGGCAGAUUUUGCAUAGGGAUCCUCAUCAUUCGGCAAAGCAGAAAAUGAAAUCUCGAGCUACAUAUUUAUUACAAGCACAACAGCAAAUUCCAGAAUGCCAUGGCAACAAGUUGUAGAUUCAAAGCCAAACUUUGACGUUCAAUGCAAGGCAACCACUUUAUUUUAUACUAACGAAUUUGCUUUAAGUAAUGCAGGGGCAUAUUUUAGCUAUUCUCGAACAUUACAUGAUAUCGCAAAGCUCAACAUCAAGUCAAAAGUCAUAAAGUUCAUGCAAAACAAAGGAUGAAGCCAAGCAAGCGCAAAUCAAACUGUGAAACUUAUAAUUGUUCUUUGAGUGCAGGAAUUUAUUAAUGGCAAAACUUCAUUUUGAAGCUCCAACAACUGUUAGCAUUGCACCAGGAAUUUCUUUACUACGAAGGCAUUCCAUCAAGUGCUCUGGACCGCACCAUUCACUAUAGCAAAAGCGUCGCACUAAGCCCUCUGCAUUGCACCAUCAAUAUAUGUUACUUCGAAGAAAUUAUACCAAGCUCUUUACACCGCAUUACGAAUUCCAAGACUACAAAUCAAGCAUCACACCAAGCUUCUGCACCGCACCAAUAUUUGAAAUUGUAAAUCAAGAGCCAUGCAUCUAGGUUCGUCCACCUAAUAAUAGGACAAAAAGGUCGUCCGCCUAAUUAAUAGGACAUGAGGUUGUCCACUUGAUAAUAGGACAUAAGGCAGUCCGCCUGAUAAUAGGACAUGAGGUUGUCGACCUGAUAAUAGGACAUAAGGUAGUCCGCCUGAUAAUAGGACAUGAGGUUGUCCACCUGAUAAUAGGACAUAAGGUAGUCCACCUGAUAAUAGGACAUAAGGUUGUAGGACAUAAGGUAGUCCGCCUGAUAAUAGGACAUGAGGUAGUCCACCUGAUUAAUAGGAUAUUAGGUUGUCCGCUUGAUUAAUUGGACACAAGGUUGUCCACCUAAUAUAGGAUAUUUCGGGUUCAUCCGCCCUCAAAUAGGAUAUAUCGGGUCUAUACGCCCUCAAAUAGGAUAUAGCGGGUCUAUCCGCCCUCAAAAGGAUAUAUCGGGUCUAUCAGCCUUCAAAUAGGAUAUAUCGGGUCCAUCCGCCCUCAAAUAGGAUAUUUCGGGUUCAUCUGCCCUCAAAUAGGAUAUAUCGGGUCUAUCCACCCUCAAAUAGGAUGUAGCAGGUCUAUCCGCCCUCGAAUAGGAUAUAUCGGGUCCAUCCGCCCUCAAAUAGGAUAUAUCGGGUCCAUCCGCCCUCAAAUAGGAUAUAUCGGGUUCAUCCACCCUCAAAUAGGAUAUAUCGGGUCUAUCUGCCCUCAAAUAGGAUAUAUCAGGUCUAUCCACCCUCAAAUAGGAUAUAUCAGGUCUGUCCGCCCUCAAAUAGGAUAUAUCGGGUCUAUCCGCCCUCAAAUAGGAUAUAUCGCGCCCUCAAAUUGGAUAUUGAAGUUAAUCCUUCCUCAAAAGGACAUUUAAUUUAUUUUGACCCGAGUGGUCCCGCUUGCAUAAACAUUGCCAAAAUAUAUCUUUCAUAAACCAUUUCCAAAUGCAUUUACCUUUUUAAACUAAUUUUCAUGUGUCGUUGCCGACCAUGAAAUAUGCCACCAUAAAAUUAUAUUUUUAUAUGUUUUAAAUUCGCAUUUCUUAUGAAUUGAUGCCUAAAUAUUAUUUUCAUAAGAUUACUUUUAUGGCAUAUUGCAUCUUAUUUCCUAACGAUUGUUUUUAGCGUUGUUAAGCUUUGCAGGAAAUAUAGCGCAACGUGGAACUAUAUCUUAGCAGUAAACUGGGGCAAUUUGUUAGGGAGGAAUACCAAACUCUCCAACAAAGGUCAAGGAUCUACUUCGAACUCCGCUCGGCUCGACUCUCAAAAUUCAUAAUUAAUUUCUUAUUUCAAACAUCUUUCUUUUAAUCAUGGUAACCAGUGUCUCUAUUAUUCGAUGCUGGGGCAUCAUUUUAAGAUCCGCAUCAGUAGUUGAGUCCUACUCUAGGAUACCAUAAGUCUUGAACUACAUAUGGCCUGAUUCUCGUGUAACCCGAAAUAUGUAGGCAACUCGGAGACCGGAGUGCGGCCUUAACCAUCCAAUCUUCCCGUUUACUCUUGUACUUUUCCAAGAUUCUGUCAAAACCCUUAAUAUGUAUUCAUGGUCACGACAAGAUUGGCUACUAGGUCAAUAUUCUUUGCCCGACAACUCUUUCAUCGUCCCCGGUCAAAGAGGGGCAGCUGUUGACAUCCAAUUUUGUCCCUCCUUUCUUCCAAACUAUUUCUUUAAGCUUCUAAUAUUACUAAUAAUUUAAUAAUAAUUAUUUUACAGUUGUUACCCUAAAAUAGACCUAAUUAGUAUAACUAUCCCUAUUAUUACUGUUAUUAUUAUUAUUAAAUUAUUAUCAUUGUCAUUAUUAUUAUUAUUAUUAAUUUUAUUUUAAUAUCAUUCUUAUCGGCUUUUGCGAAAUCCAUAUCAAUUUCUUUCAUAUAAUCACAUAGUAGUAUUUAUUUCAAUUUUAUACUUUACAAUGUUUAUUCUUUAUUUCACAAUUAAUGUAAUAGUUAUUUUAACAAAUUAGAUGCUAGAAAAUCUUAUAUUUUGAUAAGUCGCCUCGAAUUAAUUAAUUAAUUAUUUAAUAUUAAUAUAUGCUAAUAUAAUUAAUUGAGAGAUUUAAUAAAAUUAUAAGCCCAAAGAAAGACUUGAAGAAGGAAGUGGGUUGUCUAAUAUCUAGUCACCUAAAAUUCAUUACAAUCUCUAACCCCCAAGAAUAGGCCCUGUUAGGCCAAGCUUAUGCCCCAAACCCGCCUGAACCUCAGCCCAAUCGGCCCAACACCCCUUCAAAUAUUUUAUUCCCUAAUUUCUAACCUAGUAAGAAAACACAACAGCGCCUCUGUCCACCUUCCUUUGUCUCCUUCUUCAUUUUCUGAAACCUCCAAGCUUUGACACCUUUUAAUCAAAUGAUGUUGCACCAUUUUUGUGCAAAUAACAUCUCUUUCUUUGCUCUUCCGCAUUUGUGCUCGAUGACCUGCAAAUCUUUAAUUCUCAGUCAAAAAUCUCACCAAUUCGGGCAAGAACAGAGCAAAUCACGUGAAUCCGUCCAAACCUCCAACGUUCGGAUUCAAACGGUUCUUUGACCUUCAUUUGAAAUCUGAAUUUUGAUUUUUGAAAACUCUAGCUCGUGUUUAUCUCUAUAAAUACUCGCAUGCUAGAACUCUUUUGGGGACAUGGUUGGAAGCCGCCGCCCCUCUGUUAUGAAAUUACUCUCUAAAAACUCAUCUCUUUCUCUCGGUCUCUAUUAAAUUUUUUGCCAUAACAACACCCUUGCUCCUGCUGCUUCUAACGUUCUUUGCUUGCUCGAGUUAGUUGAUUCGAGGUCGGAGAUUCGAUCAUCCGUUGAAGACGCCCCAGUCACUGCACCUAAAAAGGUCAGUAACUUGUGAAGCUUUGAUUUCUUUUGUCCUUUCUUUUCUCGGUCAAUGCCCAGAAGUCAUUAGCUAUCUCAACUAGAAAACAUGAGUUAGGAUUCAUUUUUAGGCUGGCUCUUUAGUUUCUGUUAUCUGUUUAUAUGUUCACGUGUUUGUAGAAAUUAUGACUGUAAGAGUAUUGAGGCUGGCCAUUUAUUUAUUUAUUUAUUUUAAAAUAUGAGUAACAAGUAUUUGUCUGCCUAUAAAUACGUCCUCUUUUCGUUCUUUGAUGCUUGACAUAGUGAUAUGCUACAAGUAUAUUCUGUUUCUAAGAAAAUAACUCAAACUUGUUAGUGUCAAGAAAUAAAGCAUUAAAGAUCAUGCCUAUAAGCUUCGUCAGUUCCGCAAUAUGUUUUCCUCUAAGUAUGAAGUAUUUGAACCUUAAAUAUGUUUUUGCCUUUGCGAUACUAGAUAACCUUAUCUAUGACUCCGGCAAUUCCUUCUUACACGUUAGUUAUCUUAAAAUACAUGUAUACUAAAUAUCUUGUAUAUGGGUUAAAAUUAAUCUAUAUGUAAAUGUUAGUAAUUGGAUACACUUGAGUGUCAUCUUUGUGAUAGACGUCAUGUUUGAAGUCCUCGAAAUACUGAAUCUGCUUCUGGAUAAGAAGAAUGGGUAUUUGGCUUAUUGGUCCAUUGUUGCGAUUUCUGAACAAAAAUGGCACAUUGACUUUUGUAAUUGAAUAGUAUUAUAUAGAUGCUGUAACUUAGUCAUAAUAUUUUCAUGACAUAGAGUUUGGUUGUUUAAGGCCUUGAUGUUAGAGCUAUAGAACAAAAAUCAAUUAUUCUUCUUAAGGAAAACAGUUUUAUGUGGAGUAUUUCAUCUUAUAAACUUUUACGGGAUGGGUUAUAUUACGAGUCUUUACUUCUUUAUUUAUCUCUUAUGUACUAUAAAGAAUCAGAUUCCAUUUUCUAAUUCUUAUUUCUUGUUUGUCUUUGUAUAUGCACAUGGAGCAAAUGGAGUCUAAUUCAAGACUCUGGAAGUGGAGUCUCAUAGAGACUCAACAGUAUCCGAGCAUGGAGUUAUCACAUCCUACACCGUCUUCCUUAGAAUGCACCAAAUAGCAAACAAACAAGCGAAAUACUAUGGAGUUCUUCUUUUAAUUCUUUUGCCAUUCAUUUAAUCUAACUUUUGUGAUUGUUAAUUUGCUUGUGUAUUUGGGUUUUAUCUCAAGUUUGGAUUUAUUGAUUUAGGUUCUUUGCUAUCCUUAUAUCACAUAAG
rnacentral:lncRNA from 1 species